rnacentral:lncRNA from 1 species
CAAACCACUGAAGUUCAGAGAAACGCAUACAUUUUGAAGAGGAAUACAUCUUCCUUUUCCUCCAGCUCAGGACCCUUUGCAGAACACCUGCGUUUCCACGAGCGGAUGUAGGAGCCGGAAGAAAUUGCUGUGAGCCUUCAUCUCCCUCUGACGUGCACACGGGUCACAGCAGGACUCUGGGAACCAUUCCCCCCU